rnacentral:rRNA from 1 species
UACGUAGGGUGCGAGCGUUAAUCGGAAUUACUGGGCGUAAAGCGUGCGCAGGCGGCUUUGCAAGACAGAUGUGAAAUCCCCGGGCUUAACCUGGGAACUGCAUUUGUGACUGCAUAGCUAGAGUACGGUAGAGGGGGAUGGAAUUCCGCGUGUAGCAGUGAAAUGCGUAGAUAUGCGGAGGAACACCGAUGGCGAAGGCAAUCCCCCUGGACCUGUACUGACGCUCAUGCACGAAAGCGUGGGGAGCAAACAGG